AUUGAGGUGACGAGUCCCAAAUAGGAGGAAACGUAUGUCAUGGAU
rnacentral:hammerhead_ribozyme from 1 species